GAUGAACGCUGGCGGCGUGCCUAAUACAUGCAAGUCGAGCGAACAGACGAGGAGCUUGCUCCUCUGACGUUAGCGGCGGACGGGUGAGUAACAUGUGGAUCACCUACCUAUAAGACUGGGAUAACUUCGGGAAACAGGAGCUAAUACCGGCUCAUAUAUUCAACCGCAUGGUUCAAUAGUGAAAGACGGUUUUGCUGUCACUUAUAGAUGGAUCCGCGUCGCAUUAGCUAGUUGGUAAGGUAACGGCUUACCAAGGCAACGAUGCGUAGCCGACCUGAGAGGGUGAUCGGCCACACUGGAACUGAGACACGGUCCAGACUCCUACGGGAGGCAGCAGUAGGGAAUCUUCGACAAUGGGCGAAAGCCUGACGGAGCAACGCCGCGUGAGUGAUGAAGGUCUUCGGGUCGUAAAACUCUUUUAUUAGGGAAGAACAAAUGUGGAAGUAACUAUGCACGUCUUGACGGUACCUAAACAAAAAGCCCCGGCUAACUACGUG
rnacentral:rRNA from 1 species